AACGUACGCUGGCGGCACGCCUAACACAUGCAAGUCGAACGAAGUAGCAAUACUUAGUGGCAGACGGGUGAGUAACAUGUAGGUAUCUGCCCUUUGGCCUGGAAUAACACGAGGAAACUUGUGCUAAUACCGGAUAAGUCUUUACGGAGAAAGCUUUAUGCACCAUUGGAUGAGCCUGCACUUGAUUAGUUUGUUGGUGGGGUAAUGGCCUACCAAGACUGUGAUCAAUAGCUGAUUUGAGAGGAUGAUCAGCCACAUUGGGACUGAGACACGGCCCAAACUCCUACGGGAGGCAGCAGUGGGGAAUCUUGCACAAUGGAGGAAACUCUGAUGCAGCGAUGCCGCGUGAGUGAAGAAGGCCCUUGGGUUGUAAAGCUCUUUCGUCGGGGAAGAAAAUGACUGUACCCGAAUAAGAAGGUCCGGCUAACUUCGUGCCAGCAGCCGCGGUAAUACGAAGGGACCUAGCGUAGUUCGGAAUUACUGGGCUUAAAGAGUUCGUAGGUGGUUGAAAAAGUUAGUGGUGAAAUCCCAGAGCUUAACUCUGGAACUGCCAUUAAAACUUUUCAGCUAGAGUAUGAUAGAGGAAAGCAGAAUUUCUAGUGUAGAGGUGAAAUUCGUAGAUAUUAGAAAGAAUACCAAUUGCGAAGGCAGCUUUCUGGAUCAUUACUGACACUGAGGAACGAAAGCAUGGGUAGCGAAGAGGAUUAGAUACCCUCGUAGUCCAUGCCGUAAACGAUGUGUGUUAGACGUUGGAAAUUUAUUUUCAGUGUCGCAGGGAAACCGAUAAACACACCGCCUGGGGAGUACGACCGCAAGGUUAAAACUCAAAUGAAUUGACGGGGACCCGCACAAGUAGUGGAGCAUGUGGUUUAAUUCGAAGAUACGCGCAGAACCUUACCAACACUUGACAUGUUCGUCGCGACUUUAAGAGAUUAGAGUUUUCGGUUCGGCCGGACGAAACACAGGUGCUGCAUGGCUGUCGUCAGCUCGUGUCGUGAGAUGUUGGGUUAAGUCCCGCAACGAGCGCAACCCUCACUUUUAGUUGCCAUCAUUAAGUUGGGCACUCUGAAAGAACUGCCAGUGAUAAGCUGGAGGAAGGUGGGGAUGACGUCAAGUCCUCAUGGCCCUUACGUGUUGGGCUACACACGUGCUACAAUGGUAUCUACAACAGGAAGCAAGACUGCGAAGUUAAGCAAAUCCCUAAAAGAUACCUCAGUUCGGAUUGCGCUCUGCAAACUCGAGUGCAUGAAGCUGGAAUUACUAGUAAUCGUGGAAUCAGCGUGCCACGGUGAAAUGCGUUCCCGGGUCU
rnacentral:rRNA from 1 species